rnacentral:sRNA from 3 species
UAUUCUGCCCCACGGGGAAGGAUGAGAAGCUUCGACUAAGGUUCGACUCGAGCGAAGCGAGAGAACGUUGCCGCAGGCAAUGGCCCGAAGGCGAGGCGCUUUAGCGCCGAGUAAUCCUUCCCCCACCACUG